UGACCUCGAAUCAGGUAGGACUACCCGCUGAACUU
rnacentral:rRNA from 1 species